GGGGAGUUAAUUCCGUAGAGGUAGCGGUGCAGACUGUAAAUCUGUUGUCAUUGCGACUCGGGUGGUUCGACUCCAUCACUCCCCACCA
rnacentral:tRNA from 2 species